rnacentral:rRNA from 1 species
AUUGAACGCUGGCGGCAUGCCUAACACAUGCAAGUCGAACGGCAGCACGUUUUAGUUUACUAGAAUGGUGGCGAGUGGCGGACGGGUGAGUAACGCGUAGGAAUAUACCUUAAAGAGGGGGAUAACUUGGGGAAACUCAAGCUAAUACCGCAUAAUCUCUGAGGAGAGAAGCUGGGGACCUUUGGGCCUGGCGCUUUAAGAAUAGCCUGCGUACGAUUAGCUAGUUGGUGGGGUAAGGGCCUACCAAGGCGACGAUCGUUAGCUGGUCUGAGAGGAUGGCCAGCCACACUGGAACUGAGACACGGUCCAGACUCCUACGGGAGGCAGCAGUGGGGAAUAUUGGACAAUGGGGGCAACCCUGAUCCAGCAAUGCCGCGUGUGUGAA